CCGGGGCGGGGUGCUAUACAUGCAAGUAGAACGCUGAAGAGAGGAGCUUGCUCUUCUUGGAUGAGUUGCGAACGGGUGAGUAACGCGUAGGUAACCUGCCUUGUAGCGGGGGAUAACUAUUGGAAACGAUAGCUAAUACCGCAUAACAAUGGAUGACACAUGUCAUUUAUUUGAAAGGGGCAAUUGCUCCACUACAAGAUGGACCUGCGUUGUAUUAGCUAGUAGGUGAGGUAACGGCUCACCUAGGCGACGAUACAUAGCCGACCUGAGAGGGUGAUCGGCCACACUGGGACUGAGACACGGCCCAGACUCCUACGGGAGGCAGCAGUAGGGAAUCUUCGGCAAUGGGGGCAACCCUGACCGAGCAACGCCGCGUGAGUGAAGAAGGUUUUCGGAUCGUAAAGCUCUGUUGUAAGUCAAGAACGAGUGUGAGAGUGGAAAGUUCACACUGUGACGGUAGCUUACCAGAAAGGGACGGCUAACUACGUGCCAGCAGCCGCGGUAAUACGUAGGUCCCGAGCGUUGUCCGGAUUUAUUGGGCGUAAAGCGAGCGCAGGCGGUUUGAUAAGUCUGAAGUUAAAGGCUGUGGCUCAACCAUAGUUCGCUUUGGAAACUGUCAAACUUGAGUGCAGAAGGGGAGAGUGGAAUUCCAUGUGUAGCGGUGAAAUGCGUAGAUAUAUGGAGGAACACCGGUGGCGAAAGCGGCUCUCUGGUCUGUAACUGACGCUGAGGCUCGAAAGCGUGGGGAGCGAACAGGAUUAGAUACCCUGGUAGUCCACGCCGUAAACGAUGAGUGCUAGGUGUUGGAUCCUUUCCGGGAUUCAGUGCCGCAGCUAACGCAUUAAGCACUCCGCCUGGGGAGUACGACCGCAAGGUUGAAACUCAAAGGAAUUGACGGGGGCCCGCACAAGCGGUGGAGCAUGUGGUUUAAUUCGAAGCAACGCGAAGAACCUUACCAGGUCUUGACAUCCCGAUGCUAUUUCUAGAGAUAGAAAGUUACUUCGGUACAUCGGUGACAGGUGGUGCAUGGUUGUCGUCAGCUCGUGUCGUGAGAUGUUGGGUUAAGUCCCGCAACGAGCGCAACCCCUAUUGUUAGUUGCCAUCAUUCAGUUGGGCACUCUAGCGAGACUGCCGGUAAUAAACCGGAGGAAGGUGGGGAUGACGUCAAAUCAUCAUGCCCCUUAUGACCUGGGCUACACACGUGCUACAAUGGUUGGUACAACGAGUUGCGAGUCGGUGACGGCAAGCUAAUCUCUUAAAGCCAAUCUCAGUUCGGAUUGUAGGCUGCAACUCGCCUACAUGAAGUCGGAAUCGCUAGUAAUCGCGGAUCAGCACGCCGCGGUGAAUACGUUCCCGGGCCUUGUACACACCGCCCGUCACACCACGAGAGUUUGUAACACCCGAAGUCGGUGAGGUAACCUUUUGGAGCCAGCCGCCUAAGGUGGAAUGGGGGUGG
rnacentral:rRNA from 1 species